rnacentral:tRNA from 1 species
GGAUGUAUAGCUCAGGGGGUAGAGCAUCUGGCUUCUAACUAAUAAGGUUCCCAGUUCAAGUCAGGGUGUUCCCU